ACGGAAGGCAGCAGUGGGGAAUAUUGCGCAAUGGGGGGAACCCUGACGCAGCAACGCCGCGUGCGGGAAGAAGGUCUUCGGAUUGUAAACCGUUGUCGCAGGGGAAGAAGACAGUGACGGUACCCUGUGAGAAAGUCACGGCUAACUACGUGCCAGCAGCCGCGGUAAUACGUAGGUGACAAGCGUUGUCCGGAUUUACUGGGUGUAAAGGGCGCGUAGGCGGGACAGCAAGUCAGGAGUGAAAUACCGAGGCUCAACCUCGGGGCUGCUUUUGAAACUGUUGUUCUUGAGUAUCGGAGAGGAAAGCGGAAUUCCCAGUGUAGCGGUGAAAUGCGUAGAUAUUGGGAGGAACACCAGUGGCGAAGGCGGCUUUCUGGACGACAACUGACGCUGAGGCGCGAAAGUGUGGGGAGCAAACAGGAUUAGAUACCCUGGUA
rnacentral:rRNA from 2 species